rnacentral:rRNA from 1 species
GAUGAACGCUAGCGGCAGGCUUAACACAUGCAAGUCGAGGGGUAGAGGAAGCUUGCUUCCUUGAGACCGGCGCACGGGUGCGUAACGCGUAUGCAACCUACCUUUUACAGAGGGAUAGCCCAGAGAAAUUUGGAUUAAUACCUCAUGGUAUAUAUCAUUCGCAUGUUUGAUAUAUUAAAGUUCCAACGGUAAAAGAUGGGCAUGCGUCCUAUUAGCUAGAUGGUAAGGUAACGGCUUACCAUGGCAACGAUAGGUAGGGGUCCUGAGAGGGAGAUCCCCCACACUGGUACUGAGACACGGACCAGACUCCUACGGGAGGCAGCAGUGAGGAAUAUUGGACAAUGGGCGCAAGCCUGAUCCAGCCAUGCCGCGUGCAGGAAGAAGCAUCUAUGGUGUGUAAACUGCUUUUGUACGGCAAGAAACACUCCUUCGUGAAGGAGCUUGACGGUACCGUAAGAAUAAGGAUCGGCUAACUCCGUGCCAGCAGCCGCAGUAAUAC